rnacentral:rRNA from 1 species
AUGGAGAAGCAACUCUCCACGGGAGGAAAGGAAAUUUUAUUAAAAUCCGUGGCUCAGGCCAUCCCAGUUUUUGCAAUGUCAGUUUUCUCUCUACCAAAGGGUCUGUGCAAGGAGAUAAUAGAUUUGAUAGCACAAUUCUGGUGGGGAGAUGAUGAGGAUCAUAAGAGAAUGCAUUGGUACACAUGGCGGAAACUUUGUUAUCCUAAAUGUGAUGGAGGGAUGGGAUUUAGAGAUCUAUACUCAUUCAACCUGAGAAUGUUAUCGAAGCAGUGUUGGAGGCUCAUUACUAACCCCGACUCCUUAUGUGCUAAAGUUCUAAAAGCCAAAUACUACCCGAAUGUGAGUCUUCUUCAAGCCACUUUGAAGAAUAGGGCCUCUUUCACCUGGCAGAGUAUAAUGAAAGGGUUGGAUACCUUCAAGCUAGGAUAUAUUUGGUGGAUUGGCACGGGGGGAAACGUGAAUAUUUGGACAGACCCGUGGAUCCCCUCGAGUCAGGAUAGGAAAAUCAUAUCACACCGAGGCCAAACCAUUCUUUCUUCCGUGAGUGACCUCAUCGAUCCAACGAUAGAAACAUGGGACGAAGAAUUGGUCCGAACAAUCUUUAAUCCAGUGGAUGUCAGGAGAAUACUCCAAAUCCCUCUGAAUGUCGGAGCUUUUGAGGAUUUCAUUGCAUGGAACCCAGACGGUAAGGGUAUUUUUUCUGUCAAAUCGGCCUACAAAUUGCAAUGGAACCAUUCUUUACAUGCUCACGUAAAUGUUCUACGUCGUUCAGGGGCCUCAAGAUCUCCAGAAAUAUGGAACAUACUAUGGAAAAUAAAUGCUCCACGAAAAGUUCUCAUUUUUGGCCGGCGCGUCCUUCAUGGGAUUAUCCCGCUAAAAUCCAUACUUACAAACAGACACAUCGGCUCGGAUGCGGCAUGCCCGGUGUGUCAUCAAGAUGCAAAGGAUAUCCGUCAUCUUCUGUUUGACUGUUGCCAUGCUAGGGAACUCUGGAACAACCUUGGCAUUUCAGAAAUUGUGGAUGAGGCCAAGCAAAUUGAUAGAUCGGGCUCUGUUAUUAUGGAGCAUCUAUUAACAGUACCGGACAAGAUCCUGCCAAUUAAGCCAAACUUGAAUAUCAAACAUGUGUUGCUGGUUGGCGCAUGGUAUCUGUGGUCGAUCAGGAGAGAACUUACUCAUAAUGGUAAACCACCACCCUCUAUGAGAUGGCAUAUGUCAGUUCUAGCUAUUGCAAGUAACUUCCAUGAGGCGAACAACAAACAGAAGUGUAUAGGUGGUUAG